rnacentral:rRNA from 1 species
AUUGAACGCUGGCGGCAGGCUUAACACAUGCAAGUCGAGCGAGCGGCGGACGGGUGAGUAAUGUCUGGGAAACUGCAUGAUGGAGGGGGAUAACUACUGGAAACGGUAGCUAAUACCGCAUACCAUCAGAUGUGCCCAGAUGGGAUGAGCUAGUAGGUGGGGGAAUGGCUCACCUAGGCGACGAUCCCUAGCUGGUCUGAGAGGAUGACCAGCCACACGUGAACUUAACCACGGACCAGGCUCCUAUGGGAGGCAGCAGUGGGGUAUAUUGGACAAUGGGCGCAAGCCUGAGGCAGCCCUGCCGAGUGGGUGAAGAAGGCCUUCGGGUUGUAAAGCACUUUCAGCGAGGAGGCGUUACUCGCAGAAGAAGCACCGGCUAACGCCGUGCCAGCAGCCGCGGUAAUAC